UCGACGGGCGGGUUGGUGGUGAUCUUGAUCGCCUUCUGCGCGGCGGCGCGGUCGGCGAUGUUCUCGUCGAACCGGAUCGCCACCGGCUCGCCGAU
rnacentral:tRNA from 1 species